rnacentral:rRNA from 1 species
UGGGGAAUAUUGCACAAUGGGCGCAAGCCUGAUGCAGCCAUGCCGCGUGUGUGAAGAAGGCCUUCGGGUUGUAAAGCACUUUCAGCGGGGAGGAAGGCGGUGAGGUUAAUAACCUCACCGAUUGACGUUACCCGCAGAAGAAGCACCGGCUAACUCCGUGCCAGCAGCCGCGGUAAUACGGAGGGUGCAAGCGUUAAUCGGAAUUACUGGGCGUAAAGCGUACGCAGGCGGUCUGUCAAGUCGGAUGUGAAAUCCCCGGGCUCAACCUGGGAACUGCAUUCGAAACUGGCAGGCUAGAGUCGUGUAGAGGGGGGUAGAAUUCCAGGUGUAGCGGUGAAAUGCGUAGAGAUCUGGGGGAAUACCGGUGGCGAAGGCGGCCCCCUGGACGAAGACUGACGCUCAGGUGCGAAAGCGUGGGGAGCAAACAGG